GGUUGUAUAGUGUAGCGGUUAUCACUCCGGAUUCUGAUUCCGGCAACCCCGGUUCGAAUCCGGGUACGACCU
rnacentral:tRNA from 2 species